UACGUAGGGACCAAGCGUUGUUCGGAUUUACUGGGCGUAAAGGGCGCGUAGGCGGCUUGACAAGUCACUUGUGAAAUCUCCGGGCUUAACUCGGAACGGCCAAGUGAAACUGUCAUGCUAGAGUGCAGAAGGGGCAAUCGGAAUUCUUGGUGUAGCGGUGAAAUGCGUAGAUAUCAAGAGGAACACCUGAGGUGAAGACGGGUUGCUGGGCUGACACUGACGCUGAGGCGCGAAAGCCAGGGGGGCAAACGGG
rnacentral:rRNA from 1 species